UACGUAGGGCGCAAGCGUUGUCCGGAAUUAUUGGGCGUAAAGAGCUCGUAGGCGGUUUGUCGCGUCUGUCGUGAAAGCCCACGGCUUAACCGUGGGUCUGCGGUGGAUACGGGCAGACUAGAGGCAGGUAGGGGAGAAUGGAAUUCCCGGUGUAGCGGUGAAAUGCGCAGAUAUCGGGAGGAACACCGGUGGCGAAAGCGACUUCCUGGACCAGUACCGACGUUCAGGCACGAAAGCGUGGGGAGCAAACAGG
rnacentral:rRNA from 1 species